GGUCGCAUGGUCCAGUUGGUUAGGACGUUCGCCUGUCACGCGAAAGAUCACGGGUUCGAAUCCCGUUGUGACCG
rnacentral:tRNA from 1 species